rnacentral:tRNA from 1 species
CAAGGCAGAGCUUGAUUAGUUAAGCAUUUCAUUUACACUGAGAAGUCACUGUGCGAUUCAGUUUGUUUUGAU